GUCCACGCUGUAAACGAUGUGCACUAGGCGUGGGGCACGUACGUGUUCUGUGCCGUAGCUAACGUGGUAAGUGCACCGCCUGGGGAGUAUGCUCGCAAGGGUGAAACUCAAAGGAAUUGACGGGGGCCCCGCACAAGCGGUGGAGCAUGUGGUUUAAUUCGAUGGUACACGAGGAACCUUACCAGGGCUUGACAUGUGCGUGAAUGUUCACGAGAGUGGGCAGCCCCGCAAGGGGCGCGUACACAGGUGCUGCAUGGCUGUCGU
rnacentral:rRNA from 1 species